ensembl:misc_RNA
GGGCCAGCACUGGAGUCUGGAGUUCUAUAUUUAGCCACAGAGCAGGUACAAAAUGGGCAGCAGCAAUGGGAGCUCCCCCCACUGCUCUCCCAGCGCGCCUUGAUCUGCAGUGGAAGGGUCACCUCUAGGGGCCAAAGGAAGGUUUGCUUUCCAUGCCCACUUAGCUCUGGUUCCA